AGGAUUUGAUUAGGAUUUGAUUUAGGAUUAGGAUUUGAUUAGAAUUUGGUUUAGAAUUUAGGAUUUGAUUUAGGAUUUAGAAUUUGGUUAGGAUUUGAUUUAGGAUUUAGGGUUUGAUUAGGGUUUGAUUUAGGGUUAGAAUUUGGUUAGAAUUUGAUUUAGGAUUUGGUUAGGAUUUGAUUUAGGAUUUAGGAUUUUAUUAGGAUUUAUUUAGGAUUUAAGAUUUACUUAAUUUUUGGCCUAAAGUUUGAAUGAAGUCUAAUAGGAUUUUAACUAGGAUUAAAUUAAGAUUGAAUUGAGAUGUAUUUGAAAUAUAUUUGUGAUCAUUCUAAUAUUUCUUUAGGAUUUCUUAUUAUUUCUUUGUAAUUUGUUUGAGGUUUCUUUAAAUUUGAUUAAAGCUUGCUUAGCAUUGUUAUGGUUUAAUUAGAGUUUAGUUAGUAUUCUAUUAGAAUUAUAAUUUUGUUGUUGCAAUUUCUAUUCUACCUUCCACAAUCAGGUGCCCGGAGCAUUCUCAAGCAAGACUUCACGUAUUACAACAGUUGAAAUCAUAUAACUACCUGAUUGUG
rnacentral:lncRNA from 1 species